rnacentral:sRNA from 1 species
GCGAUGAGCUGAUUUGUGUAAGUCGAAAGAUAAUGAAAUAAGUGAUGUGAACACUUAGUUCUUUCGCCACAAAUAUAUCGAAGGCGCCUAUACUAUUGACGUAUGGGCGUC